rnacentral:rRNA from 1 species
AGAGUGAACGCUGGCGGUAGGCCUAACACAUGCAAGUCGAACGGCAGCACGGUAAGAGCUUGCUCUUAUGGGUGGCGAGUGGCGGACGGGUGAGGAAUACAUCGGAAUCUACCUUUUGGUGGGGGAUAACGUAGGGAAACUUACGCUAAUACCGCAUACGCCCUUCGGGGGAAAGCCGGGGACCAGCAA